CCAGCCACUGGCUGAAAAACAUUAGUGCUUUUGGUAAGUGCUCUAUCAGAGGACAAUGGGACUGAGGCGCGUGCACGAGUCGACCCCAUGUUUUUAUUUUCUCUCUCUUUGAAUCUAAACACGCUUUCCCGGUCGGAAUAUUAUCGCUUUUUUACGAGAAAAAUGGCAUAAAAAUUGAUUUUAAACAGCGGUUGACAUGCUUCGAAGUACGGUAAUGGAAUAUUUAGACAUUUUUUGUCACGAAAUGCGUCGUGCGCGUCACCCUUCUUUACCAUUCGGAUAGUGUCUUGAACGCACGAACAAAACAGAGGAUAUUUGAACAUAACUAUGGAUUAUUUUGAACCAAACCAACAUUUGUUAUUGAAGUAGAAGUCCUGGGAGUGCAUUCUGACGAAGAACAGCAAAGGGCUGUGGGGUGAGACAGGGAUGCC
rnacentral:lncRNA from 1 species